rnacentral:rRNA from 1 species
UACGAAGGGGGCUAGCGUUGCUCGGAAUUACUGGGCGUAAAGCGCACGUAGGCGGUCUUUUAAGUCGGGGGUGAAAUCCUGGAGCUCAACUCCAGAACUGCCUUCGAUACUGGAAGACUUGAGUCCAGGAGAGGUGAGUGGAACUGCGAGUGUAGAGGUGAAAUUCGUAGAUAUUCGCAAGAACACCAGUGGCGAAGGCGGCUCACUGGCCCGGUACUGACGCUGAGGUGCGAAAGCGUGGGGAGCAAACAGG